rnacentral:rRNA from 1 species
CCCGGGCCUUGUACACACCGCCCGUCACACCAUGGGAGUUGGUUCUACCUGAAGUAGUUAGCCUAACCGCAAGGAGGGCGAUUACCACGGCAGGGUUCGUGACUGGGGUG